rnacentral:rRNA from 1 species
UAGGGAAUCUUCCACAAUGGACGAAAGUCUGAUGGAGCAACGCCGCGUGAGUGAAGAAGGGUUUCGGCUCGUAAAACUCUGUUGUUAAAGAAGAACAUAUCUGAGAGUAACUGUUCAGGUAUUGACGGUAUUUAACCAGAAAGCCACGGCUAACUACGUGCCAGCAGCCGCGGUAAUACGUAGGUGGCAAGCGUUGUCCGGAUUUAUUGGGCGUAAAGCGAGCGCAGGCGGUUUUUUAAGUCUGAUGUGAAAGCCUUCGGCUCAACCGAAGAAGUGCAUCGGA